rnacentral:rRNA from 1 species
UGGGGAAUAUUGCACAAUGGACGGAAGUCUGAUGCAGCAACGCCGCGUGCGGGAUGACGGCCUUCGGGUUGUAAACCGCUUUUUCUCAUGACGAAGUUUUUUGACGGUAGUGGGGGAAGAAGCACCGGCUAACUACGUGCCAGCAGCCGCGGUGAUACGUAGGGUGCGAGCGUUGUCCGGAAUUAUUGGGCGUAAAGAGCUUGUAGGCGGUUUGUCGCGUCGAUAGUGCAAACUCAGUGCUUAACGCUGAGCCUGCUGUUGAUACGGGCAGACUAGAGGAAGGUAGGGCGGAAUGGAAUUCCCGGUGGAGCGGUGGAAUGCGCAGAUAUCGGGAGGAACACCGGUGGCGAAGGCGGUUCUCUGGGCCUUUCCUGACGCUGAGAAGCGAAAGCGUGGGGAGCGAACAGG